GUGGGGAAUAUUGGACAAUGGGCGAAAGCCUGAUCCAGCCAUGCCGCGUGUGUGAAGAAGGCCUUUUGGUUGUAAAGCACUUUAAGCGAGGAGGAGGAGCUUCAGGUUAAUACCCUGGAUGCUUGGACGUUACUCGCAGAAUAAGCACCGGCUAACUCUGUGCCAGCAGCCGCGGUAAUACAGAGGGUGCAAGCGUUAAUCGGAUUUACUGGGCGUAAAGCGUGCGUAGGCGGCUAAUUAAGUCAAAUGUGAAAUCCCCGAGCUUAACUUGGGAAUUGCAUUCGAUACUGGUUAGCUAGAGUAUGGGAGAGGAUGGUAGAAUUCCAGGUGUAGCGGUGAAAUGCGUAGAUAUGCGGAGGAACACCGAUGGCGAAGGCAAUCCCCUGGGCCUGCACUGACGCUCAUGCACGAAAGCGUGGGGAGCAAACAGGAUUAGAUACCCCGGUAGUCC
rnacentral:rRNA from 1 species